GUGCUCGCUUUGGCAGCACAUAUACUAAAAUUGGAACGAUACAGAAAAGAUUAGCAAGUCUCUCUAUGUAAAGUUAGAGAUUUAUUAAGAGGUGUAGGCAGGUUUA